rnacentral:rRNA from 1 species
GGGUGCAGCAGUCAAGAAAAUUUUGCAAUGCACGAAAGUGUGACCGAGCAAGCCAAAGUGAUCUUCCACAUUGGAAAAUCUUUUAUGAGAUGUAAAAAGUCUUAUGAAUAAGGACCGGGCAAGACUGGUGCCAGCCGCCGCGGUAAUACCAGCGGUCCAAGUCGCAAUCACUUUUAUUGGGUCUAAAACAUCCGUAGCUUGCUUUGUAAGUCUCUUGUGAAAUCCUGCCUCUUAAGGGUAGAACUGCAAGAGAUACUGCAAGGCUAGAGACCGGGAGACGUAAGGAGUACGGCAGGGGUAACGGUAAAAUGUGUUGAUCCUUGCUGGACUAACAACAGCGAAGGCACCUUACGAGAACGGAUCUGACAGUGAGGGAUGAAGGCUAGGGGCGCAAAACGGAUUAGAUACCCGUGUAGUCCUAGCAGUAAACACUGCACACUAAACAUUGGGACCUCUUCGAGAGGUUUCAGUGCUGAAGGGAAGCCGUAGAGUGUGCUACCUGGGAAGUAUAGUCGCAAGGCCGAAACUUAAAGGAAUAGGCGGGGGAGUACUACAACGAGUGACGCGUGCGGUUUAAUCAGAUUUUACACCGUGAACCUUAGCCAGAGCCGACAGCAGGAUGAAGGUCAGUCUAAAGGGCUUACCUGACACGCUGAGAGGUAGUGCAUGGGCC